rnacentral:rRNA from 1 species
AAACUUUCAACAACGGAUCUCUUGGCUCUCGCAUCGAUGAAGAACGCAGCGAAAUGCGAUAAGUAAUGUGAAUUGCAGAAUUCAGUGAAUCAUCGAAUCUUUGAACGCACCUUGCACCUUUUGGUAUUCCGAAAGGUAUGCCUGUUUGAGUGUCAUGA